GAGUUGGAGGCCAGCCGUCGGACGUCGGCGGCGGCUACGGAUGGACGGGCGACCAACAUCAGCUACGCUUUCGCACCACUUCGAUUGGACCCGGAGUCAAUGUCACUUCGAUCACUUGCGCAAAACAUAGCUUAUUUUAGCUUAGCGUAACCUCUCAACCUUUUGAACUUUCAGGCAGGCAAACCCGCUUGGAGCGUCGCCAGCAGCCACACGAUGAGCGGCCGAAGCCACAGAUCCAGCACCAAGCGAUGCUGCUGCUGCUUGCCGGCCAAAGAUGAGCGCGGACGAUUUGCCAGAUUGACUCCAGUCAAGUCGGAAUGGGUGAAAGAGGAGGCAAGUCCGCUCGCUCGUCUCCUU